rnacentral:lncRNA from 1 species
UAAAAUGGUCCCUCAACUAUUGCUCCAAUAUCAUUUUGGUCCACCAACUAAAAUUUUUAUUUGAACCGUCCUUCCAACUUUUUUUUUUUUUUUUUUGUAUCAAAAUGCUCCUACCGUCAAAGUGCGUCAAUUUUAUUGUUAUUUAUUUUUGUAUUUAUCUUAUUUUAAAAAUUUUAAUUAAUUUAAACAAUAGAGAAAAAAAAU